rnacentral:lncRNA from 1 species
AUCCUUUCCGCCUCCCUCCCCACAUUGGACGGCCGUGGUCUGGCUCUGGUCACAUCUCAUCCUCUCAUUUAAAAACCCCCAUUAAAUCCCAAUAGAUCCACCAUUGGGGGUCCCCGCCCCCCCUGAGCUCCAUGGCCACGGCCAGGCCCCCCAGCACCGCGGAUGUUGGGGGCCCCACGGACCCCCAUAGAAACGAUGGGCGGCCGUAGGCCGAGGGGGACGUCGGGGACGGGAAGGUAACGGACACGGGAUGGGAGGGAACGUUGGUCCAGGUAACGGAGUGAGGAGCCGUCGUAUAGGAUUGAAUGUAAUGGGGCUGGGGGGUUGGGGGCUGUUGUGGGGCUGGGGGGUUAUGGGGCUGGGGGGGUUGUGGGCUGGUUAUGGGCGUCAGGUUGUUGGGGCUGGUUGUGGGGCUGGGGGUGGUGUGGGGUUGGGGCUGGUUGUGGGCUGGUUAUGGCGGGGCCAGGAGUGGGGUAUGGGGCUGGAGGGGGGUUAUGAGGGCCAGGGGUUAUGGGUCAGAGGAGGAGGUAUGGAUGGAGAUUGGAGGUUGGUUAUGGGCUGGAGUGGGGUAGGGUGUGGUUGUUAUGGGCUGGGGUGGUUAUGGGGCUGUGUAUGGGUUGGAGUGUUGUGGUUGGCAGUGUUAUGGGGCUGGGGUGGGGUUGGAGGUUGUUAUGGGGCUGGAGGUGGUUAUGGGGCUGGUUAUGGGGUUGGAGGUUGUUGUGGGGCUGGAGAUGGGGUUGGAGGUUGUUAUGGGCUGGGGUGGUUAAUGGGGCUGGUUGUGGGGCCGGGAGUGGUUAUGGGUUGGGGCUUGGUUGAUUGGGGCUGGAGGAGUGGGGUGGGCUGGGUUAUGGGUCAGACCAGAUGGGAUUGGAUGGGGUCAGUUGUGGGUGGUUGCAGGCUGGCGGGGGGUUUGUGGGGUGGGGUUGGAGGUGGUGUGGGGUUGUUGGACGUGGUUGUGGGGUCGAUGGUGGUUGUGGGGUCGGAGGUGUUAUUGGCGGCUGGUUGUAGGGCCAGGGUUGUGGGUUGGGGUGGGAGGUUAUGGGGGUCAGAAUGGAGGAUGGGGGUGGUUGUGGUGUUGUGUGUUGUUUGUGGGCCGGGGGGUGGAUUGUGGCUGGAAGGGGUUGUGCGGCAGGGGGUGGUUGGGGGGUCAACAUGUCAUGGAUGGGAUGGGGUCAGUUGUGGGGCUGGUUGUGGGGCCAGGAGUGGUUAUGGGGUUGGUGAUGGUUGUGGGGCUGGUUAUGGCGUUGGAGGUUGUUAUGGGGCUGGGGGCGGGUUAUGGGGCUGGGGGUUGUUGUAG